AUGCCUGGACCAGAAGCCAGCACCACCCUCAGGGCUUCACUGGAGGAGCUGUCACUGGGGCCAGUGCGGUUUCCCCUACUGCUGCAGGACCAGGAGAGGAUUCGUCCAACAGUGAAUCAGAGCAGGAGGGGCCCCAGAAGCUGGUCCAUAAAGUGUCCACCUCUGGACAGAUGGGGACCAAGUAGCAUUGAUCUUCCCAGACUGAUAACUGCUGAAAUCCAGGUCACGGCUCACCUCACCAAACUCAAAGCAAGGAGUGAGGAGAGGGAGACUCUAGACAGCCACUGGACUACAACCAUCGGCUCUGAAAUAAUGAGAAACUAUUGUAAGCAGACAGAUGCCUUGAUGUCUCUGAGAAGUUGCAAAAGAGACAGCUGUCUAUGA
rnacentral:lncRNA from 1 species